rnacentral:lncRNA from 1 species
NNNNNNNNNNNNNGCAGCUUAGCCCGCCUAGCCAAUCACCGCAGUGCUCAUGCACCUCCUGCAUGAGUGGACCUAAAUGAACAGCCAAUCAUAUUCAGUCCCUUAUAGCUCUUAUAGUAGGCCUCCUGUACUGGCUCCUGACAGCCACCCCUGGAUUUUUUAGAUUUUUAAGUUUCACACCAAUGCCUGCUAUUCCUCCUGUUAGCAGAUAAUGUUUUGAUAUACUAUCUUGAAAGAACAGGAAGAGGGUAAUAGCCAGGAGUUCCACUUGACCUUCCCUUCUGUAGUACUUUUAUCUUAAAGGACAAUGAGCCGAACUGGGAGUUCUGCUAUCUGCAAAGACAGAAAGAGCACUAGCAGACAGAGCAGCAAGCAGAGGGAGAAGCAGGUUCCCCACUGACCGGAGAGCCCUAUGUUGGGCUCCAUCACAGAACCCUGGGAUCAUGACCCAGGAUGAAGGCAGAAACUUAACGGAUUGAGCCACCCAGCACCCCAGAAGAUUCAACAACUUUUAAAAAAUAAAUGCCAGAGGGAAGCUCAGCUUCUAACCCUGUGUGCUACUUAAUAUUCCAUAAUAUGGCUUAGUGGAGCAAAGUUUGGAAACUUUGGAAAGGGUGAGCUAACAGUAGUUAGUAUCUGAUAA